rnacentral:misc_RNA from 1 species
UUUCCGUAGGUGAACCUGCGGAAGGAUCAUUACAGAGUUCAUGCCCUCACGGGUAGAUCUCCCACCCUUGAAUAUUUAUACCUUAGUUGCUUUGGCAGGCCGUGGAAACACCAUGGGCUCAGGCUUAUGCGUGCCUGCCAGAGGAAACAAACUCUGUUUUUAGUGAUGUCUGAGUACUAUAUAAUAGUUAAAACUUUCAACAACGGAUCUCUUGGUUCUG